rnacentral:rRNA from 1 species
GACGAACGCUGGCGGCGUGCUUAACACAUGCAAGUCGAACGGAAAGGCCCUGCUUUUGUGGGGUGCUCGAGUGGCGAACGGGUGAGUAACACGUGAGUAACCUGCCCUUGACUUUGGGAUAACUUCAGGAAACUGGGGCUAAUACCGGAUAGGAGCUCCUGCUGCAUGGUGGGGGUUGGAAAGUUUCGGCGGUUGGGGAUGGACUCGCGGCUUAUCCGCCUGUUGGUGGGGUAGUGGCUUACCAAGGCUUUGACGGGUAGCCGGCCUGAGAGGGUGACCGGCCACAUUGGGACUGAGAUACGGCCCAGACUCGUACGGGAGGCAGCAGUGGGGAAUAUUGCACAAUGGGCGGAAGCCUGAUGCAGCAACGCCGCGUGCGGGAUGACGGCCUUCGGGUUGUAAACCGCUGUCGCCUGUGACGAAGCGUGAGUGACGGUAAUGGGUAAAGAAGCACCGGCUAACUACGUG